rnacentral:siRNA from 1 species
AUUUGCGACGAAUAUAUCCCUCG